GACCCGUCUUGAAACACGGACCAAGGAGUCUAGCAUGUGCGCGAGUCAUUGGGACCGCAUUAAACCUAAAGGCAGAAUGAAAGUGAAGGUCCGCCUCGCGCGGACCAGGGGAGGAUCGGUCGGCAACCGAAACGGUGCCGCCGCGCACUCCCGGGGCGUCUUAAAUUCCUCGCGAAUGAGGCGCACCCGGAGCGUACACGCUGGGACCCGAAAGAUGGUGAACUGUGCCUGGUCAGGACGAAGUCAGGGGAAACCCUGAUGGAGGUCCGUAGCGAUUCUGACGUGCAAAUCGAUCGUCGGAACUGGGUAUAGGGGCGAAAGACUAAUCGAACUAUCUAGUAGCUGGUUCCCUCCGAAGUUUCCCUCAGGAUAGCUGGCGCUCGGAGGAGUCUCAUACGGUAAAGCGAAUGAUUAGAGGCAUUGGGUUCGAAACGGCCUCAACCUAUUCUCAAACUUUAAAUGGGUGAGAUCUCCGGCUUGCUCGAAAAAUUUCUUGAAGCCGCGAGAGAACUUGUAAUUUAUUAUAAAUAAAGGAUCAGAGUGCCAAGUGGGCCAUUUUUGGUAAGCAGAACUGGCGCUGUGGGAUGAACCAAACGUAGAGUUAAAGCGCCGAAAUCGACGCUAAUUGGAUACCAUGAAAGGCGUUGGUAACUUAAAACAGCAGGACGGUGGCCAUGGAAGUCGGAAUCCGCUAAGGAGUGUGUAA
rnacentral:rRNA from 1 species